GACGAACGCUGGCGGCGUGCUUAACACAUGCAAGUCGAACGAUGAUCAGGGAGCUUGCUUUCUGUGAUUAGUGGCGAACGGGUGAGUAACACGUGAGUAACCUGCCCCAGACUCUGGGAUAACCUCGGGAAACCGGGGCUAAUACCGGAUAUGAAGCGUUCCCGCAUGGGAUGCGGUUGGAAUGAUUUAUCGGUCUGGGAUGGACUCGCGGCCUAUCAGCUUGUUGGUGAGGUAAUGGCUCACCAAGGCGACGACGAGUAGCCGGCCUGAGAGGGCGACCGGCCAAACUGGAACUGAGACACGGUCCAGACUCCUACGGGAGGCAGCAGUGGGGAAUAUUGCACAAUGGGCGCAAGCCUGAUGCAGCAACGCCGCGUGGGGGAUGAAGGCCUUCGGGUUGUAAACCCCUUUUAGUAGGGAAGGAGCGAAAGUGACGGUACCUACAGAAAAAGCGCCGGCUAACUACGUGCCAGCAGCCGCCGUAAUAC
rnacentral:rRNA from 1 species